rnacentral:rRNA from 1 species
UACGUAGGGUGCAAGCGUUAAUCGGAAUUACUGGGCGUAAAGGGCGCGUAGGCGGCCUUCUAAGUCGAACGUGAAAUCCCCGGGCUCAACCCGGGAACUGCGUCCGAUACUGGAAGGCUUGAAUCCGGGAGAGGGAUGCGGAAUUCCAGGUGUAGCGGUGAAAUGCGUAGAUAUCUGGAGGAACACCGGUGGCGAAGGCGGCAUCCUGGACCGGUAUUGACGCUGAGGCGCGAAAGCCAGGGGAGCAAAGCGGG